rnacentral:siRNA from 1 species
GAUAUCCGGAUUACAAAAACGUC